rnacentral:rRNA from 1 species
UACAGAGGUCUCAAGCGUUGUUCGGAUUCAUUGGGCGUAAAGGGUGCGUAGGUGGCGCCGUAAGUCGGGUGUGAAAUCUUGGAGCUUAACUCCGAAACUGCAUUCGAUACUGCCGUGCUUGAGGACUGGGAGAGGAGACUGGAAUUUACGGUGUAGCGGUGAAAUGCGUAGAUAUCGUAAGGAAGACCAGUGGCGAAGGCGGGUCUCUGGACAGUUCCUGACGCUGAGGCACGAAGGUCAGGGGGAGCAAAACGGG